GCCGAUGUAGCUCAGAUGGUAGAGCGCAUCCUUGGUAAGGAUGAGGUCACCAGUUCAAUCCUGGUCAUCGGCUCCA
rnacentral:tRNA from 2 species